AUGAACGCUGGCGCCGUGCCUAAUCCAUGCAAGUCGAGCGAACAGACGAGGAGCUUGCUCCUCUGACGUUAGCGGCGGACGGGUGAGUCACACGUGGAUAACCUACCUAUAAGACUGGGAUAACUUCGGGAAACCGGAGCUAAUACCGGAUAAUAUAUUGAACCGCAUGGUUCAAUAGUGAAAGACGGUUUUGCUGUCACUUAUAGAUGGAUCCGCGCCGCAUUAGCUAGUUGGUAAGGUAACGGCUUACCAAGGCAACGAUGCGUAGCCGACCUGAGAGGGUGAUCGGCCACACUGGAACUGAGACACGGUCCAGACUCCUACGGGAGGCAGCAGUAGGGAAUCUUCCGCAAUGGGCGAAAGCCUGACGGAGCAACGCCGCGUGAGUGAUGAAGGUCUUCGGAUCGUAAAACUCUGUUAUUAGGGAAGAACAAAUGUGUAAGUAACUAUGCACGUCUUGACGGUACCUAAUCAGAAAGCCACGGCUAACUACGUG
rnacentral:rRNA from 1 species